CAAUCCCAUAAUGCCCUGCUCAGCAUGCUGGCUGCUGAAAUGUCCUAAAUGAGCACGGAUUAUGAGAGUGUCUCUCUCUCAGAUUGAGAGUAAAGCCGCAUCUCUGCAUCUCUUUGUAUCUCUGCUGCUUAGCUGGGUGCAGGAAUGAGCACGGCGGUGGUGCACAAAGGAUUCCUCAGGAAAUAUGGUGGCUUCAUGUUCAAACAAUGGAAGGAAAAGUACCUGGUGUUGACGGUGGAAGGGAAUCUGAUGGUGUCCCGAGAUGCAGACUCACCACCGGACCAGGUGGUGGCGCUACAGAGUAACUGUGAGUCCAUAGUGGAGGGUAAAGAAAUCUUGGAUUUGCCCCAUUUGCCAUCUGGAGGCCGCAGAGACAGCUGCUUCGCCCUUAUCCUGCCCCAAUACAAGUUCCUCCUCCUGCUCUCAGACAGUCCAACCGAGUGCACUCAAUGGCUGAAGUUACUCAGGAAGGUGAAAGAGGGUGUGACUUCACCACUCACCCUAAAGAGAGAGCAGAGCAUCACACCCUGCAUCACGGACAGAGAGCCGCUUCCAGAUGUCUCCAGUGACAAAGACCCCUCGUCCCCGCACCUCAGUGACAAGGGCCUGAGCUCUCCGCUGAUCCGCUCCAGAGAAAACUCCUUCAGACACAGAGGCAGCAUAAACCAGCGGCCUCCCUGCAGCCCCACCACGGCUGUGCCCCUUCGCUCUGCAGACUGUCUGCGGCACGGAAACAGCAGCGAUGCCCGGGCCGUGAGAGCGGUCUGUCUGCUGAUGGGUGGAGCAGCCGCAUCCUCGGCACUGGGAUACCUCAACUCCUGUCCAUCCGCCUCCUCCAACAUGGCUGUCCAUGCUCCUGAAGUGACCCACUCCACAGCGUUAUCGGAGAUGGGGGGAGGCAGCUCUUACCAUGCCUGCAGCCAAGCCAUAGAGUCGCCACAUUUUAACAGCUUCGACUUUGAGGGAGACUCAGACUUUGAUGCUUUUGACUGUGGAGGGUUUGCUUUUUAAUGGAAUAUGUUUACCUUAUUCGCAGGGUUCCCACAGUCGUGGAAGUGUUAGAGAAUUUGAAAAUUUUUAUUUUCAGGCCCAAGAAAGGCAUGGAAAUGAAUACACUCUUUAAAAAGUCAUGCAAAUUCCUGUAGUGAAUAUGUCUACAGCAGUGGUUCUCAAACCUGUCCUGGAGUAGCCCCAGCCCUGCACAUUUUGUAUGUCUCCCUCAUCUAUCACAUCUGAUUAAACUCUUCAGCUCAUUAGUGGAGACUGCAAGACCUGAAGUGGGUGUGUCAGAUAUAGGGAGACAUACAAAAUGUGCAGUGCUGGGGGUACUUCAUGGAGAGGUUUGAGAACCACUGGUCUACAGGAUUGUUUUUUUUUCUAGCAUAGUAGUUAAAAGCAUCUGAAAAAAGUCAUACGCAUUCAUUGUCCAAAUGAUUUUGGAUGCUGCAUACACAGUUGUUUGUUAAUCUCUUUUCAGCAGAAGACAAAAAAAAAUUAGAAUUAGAACAUGUGAAGAUGCAAAUGAUUAUAUUGGAAAAUUAAGCCUAUUUUUAUGACCAUUAUAAUUUCAUGCAUUGUGAUUUUAUGUUCAUGAGAAUUUAUCACGUCCCCCCUUUAUACAAAUACUAUUUCUAAUAUUUUUCUUUUAAUACUUGCAUGAAAUACGACCCAGAAACCUAGACAGGUUUUGUGAGAGUCAUCCAGCUGUGCCCCUUUUAACUUGUAUGUUGUGUCUAUUGUAUGUUUCAAAUAUAAUACACAUUAUGUUCCAAUAAUAAUGUUGUUUAAUAACUUUAUUAUAAUAUUGUAUCUUAGAACUCUUAACCCCUUUUUUAUUUC
ensembl:lncRNA uncharacterized LOC107551274